rnacentral:sRNA from 1 species
AGAAAAGCAGAAGUGAGAACUUCUCGCCUUGCGACCUAGGUUGUCUGGCCCAACAUGUCAAAUCCAAUUAUAGGAUAUAAUGUGUGCGGGCUUGUUUAUCAAGUCCGCUUUGUUUUUCU